rnacentral:rRNA from 1 species
GACGAACGCUGGCGGCGUGCUUAACACAUGCAAGUCGAACGGAAAGGGCCGGUACUUGUGGGGAGCGGGAGUGGAGAAAGGGUGAGAAAAACGUGAGUAACCUGCGCUUGACAGUGGGAGAACAUCAGGAAACUGGGGCGAAUAUCGGAUAGGAGCUCCUGCAGCAUGGUGGGGGUGGGAAAGAGUCGGCGGUUUGGGAUGGAAUCGCGGUCCAGCGGCGUAUUGGUGGUGUAGUGGCUUACACGGGCUUUGACGGGUAGCCGGCCUGAGAGGGUGACAGGCCACAUUGGGACUGGGAUGCGGCCCAGACUCCUUCGUCAGGCAGCAGUGGGGAUCUUUGCACAAUGCGCGGCAGCCUGAUGCAGCAUCGCCGCGUGCGGGAUGUCUGCCUUCGGGUUGUAAACCGCUUUCGCCUGUGACGCUCCGUGAGUGACGGUAAUGGGUAAAGAAGCACCGGCUAACUACGUG